UGAGUGGGCUUCGUUUACGCUGAUUGGAGAUGAUGUGAGGCUCGAGUUUCACAAUCAGAGGAAAAAAGACCCCGAUAGAGUAAAUAAUGACAAGUACUCGAAGGGAACAGAGUUAAAAGACUUUUAGAUGGAUAAAUUA